UACGUAGGGUGCAAGCGUUAAUCGGAAUUACUGGGCGUAAAGCGUGCGCAGGCGGUUAUGUAAGGCAGAUGUGAAAUGCCCGGGCUUAACCUGGGAACUGCAUUUGUGACUGCAUGGCUAGAGUUUGGCAGAGGGGGAUGGAAUUCCGCGUGUAGCAGUGAAAUGCGUAGAUAUGCGGAGGAACACCGAUGGCGAAGGCAAUCCCCUGGGCCUGCACUGACGCUCAUGCACGAAAGCGUGGGGAGCAAACAGG
rnacentral:rRNA from 1 species